rnacentral:rRNA from 1 species
UACAUUAGAUACCCGCGUAGUCCCAGCCGUAAACUAUGCUCGCUAGGUGUCAGGCAUGGCGCGACCGUGUCUGGUGCCGCAGGGAAGCCGUGAAGCGAGCCACCUGGGAAGUACGGCCGCAAGGCUGAACUUAAGGAAUUGGCGGGGAGCACAACAACGGGUGGAGCCUGCGGUUUAAUUGGACUCAACGCCGGACAACUCACCGGGAACGACAGCAAUAUGUAGGCCAGGCUGAAGACCUUGCCUGAAUCGCUG